rnacentral:rRNA from 1 species
UUAAGCAAAGAAGAGCGCAGGGUGGAUGCCUUGGCACUAAGAGCCGAAGAAAGACGUGAUAAGCUGCGAAAAGCUGCGGGGAGAUGCAAAUAAUCGUUGAUCCGCAGAUGUCUGAAUGGGGAAACCCGGUACGAAGAACUCGUAUCAUCCAUACGCCAAUCCAUAACGUAUGGAGGGGAACCCGGUGAACUGAAACAUCUAAGUAGCCGGAGGAAGAGAAAGAAACAUCGAUUUUGUUAGUAGCGGCGAGCGAAAGCGAAAGAGGCCAAACCGGAGUGCGUGCACUCCGGGGUUCGGACCGCAUUUAAGAUUCAGUAAUCCUAGCAGAAAGGUUUGGGAAAGCCUGCCGGAGAGGGUGAAAGCCCCGUAAGCGAAAGGAGAGCUGACUGAGCGGAAUCCAGAGUACAUCGAGACACGAGAAACCUUGAUGGAAUGAGCGGGGACCACCCCGUAAGCCUAAAUACUACUUAGUGACCGAUAGCGCAUAGUACUGUGAAGGAAAGGUGAAAAGGACCCCGGGAGGGGAGUGAAAGAGAACCUGAAACCCUGUGUUUACAAGCUGUGGAAGUUCUUUAAAUGAACAACCGCGUACUUUUUGUAGAACGGUCCGGCGAGUUGCGGAUACUGGCAAGGUUAAGCACUUAAGGUGCGGAGCCGAAGGGAUACCAAGUCUUAACAGGGCGUUAAGUCAGUAUACGCAGACCCGAAACCGGGUGAUCUAUCCAUGUCCAGGUUGAAGUUGUCGUAAAAGACAAUGGAGGACCGAAGCCACAUCCGUUGAAAAGGGUGGGCAUGAGGUGUGGAUAGGGGAGAAAUUCCAAUCGAACCCGGAGAUAGCUGGUUCUCCUCGAAAUAGCUUUAGGGCUAGCCUCGAUUUAGUCUUAUGGAGGUAGAGCACUGAAUUUCCGCGGGGGCGUCAAAGCUUACCAAAGAAUAUCAAACUCCGAAUGCCAUGUAGAUGAUGAUCGGGAGUCAGACUGCACGAGAUAAGUUGGGCAGUCAAAAGGGAAAGAGCCCAGACCACCGGCUAAGGUCCCAAAGUGCGUGUUAAGUGGAAAAGGAUGUGGGAAUUCGAAGACAACUAGGAUGUUGGCUCAGAAGCAGCCAUACAUUCAAAGAGUGCGUAACAGCUCACUAGUCGAGAGUUCCUGCGCCGAAAAUGUCCGGGGCUGAAACACGACACCGAAGCCGUGGACUCGCAAUGCGAGUGGUAGAGGAGCAUUCUUAAAACCGACGAAGCUGUACCGAAAGGAGCAGUGGAGGGAUAAGAAGAGAGAAUGCCGGAAUGAGUAGCGAGAGAAAGGUGGGAAUCCUUUCGGCCGAAUAUCUAAGGUUUCCAGAGUAAAGCUGAUCUGCUCUGGGUAAGUCGGGGCCUAAGCACAGGUCGCAAGACGUAAGCGAUGGAUAACAGGUUUAGAUUCCUGUACCACGCAUUAUCAGAACUGUAGGGACGCAUGUGGAAAGCACGAGCCGGGAAUGGAAAGACCGGUACAAGCGAGGUAGGUGUACGAUAGGCAAAUCCGUCGUAUAAUCCGAAGACGUGAUGUGGAGCGAAAUAAAGUAGCGAAGCGUGUGAGCCAUGUGCCGAGAAAAGCUGCUAUUGUGUAAUGCGUGCCCGUACCGUAAACCGACACAGGUGGAUGAGGAGAGAAUCCUAAGGCCGACGGAAGAAGCAUUGUUAAGGAAUUCGGCAAAAUGACCCCGUAACUUCGGGAGAAGGGGUGCCUGCGAGAGCAGGCCGCAGAGAAUAGGCUCAAGCAACUGUUUAGCAAAAACACAGGUCUAUGCGAAACCGAAAGGUGAAGUAUAUGGGCUGACGCCUGCCCGGUGCUGGAAGGUUAAGAGGAGAGGUUAGCGUAAGCGAAGCUUUGAAUUUAAGCCCCAGUAAACGGCGGCCGUAACUAUAACGGUCCUAAGGUAGCGAAAUUCCUUGUCGGGUAAGUUCCGACCCGCACGAAAGGCGUAAUGAUUUGAGCACUGUCUCGACAAUGCAUCCGGUGAAAUUGAAGUACCAGUGAAGAUGCUGGUUACCCGCGCCAGGACGGAAAGACCCCAUGGAGCUUUACUCCAGUUUGAUACUGGGAUUCGGUACUGCA